rnacentral:rRNA from 1 species
UAAGCCUACGGGGGGCAGCAGUGAGGAAUAUUGGUCAAUGGGCGGGAGCCUGAACCAGCCAAGUCGCGUGAGGGAAGACGGUCCUAUGGAUUGUAAACCUCCUUUGUCGGGGAGCAAAGAGAUCACGUGUGGUCAAAAGCGAGAGUACCCGAAGAAAAAGCAUCGGCUAACUCCGUGCCAGCAGCCGCGGUAAUACGGAGGAUGCGAGCGUUAUCCGGAUUUAUUGGGUUUAAAGGGUGCGUAGGCGGGACGGUAAGUCAGCGGUAAAAAUUCGGGGCUCAACCCCGUCGUGCCGUUGAAACUGA